rnacentral:misc_RNA from 1 species
GCAAACUUGGUCAUUUAGAGGAAGUAAAAGUCGUAACAAGGUCUCCGUAGGUGAACCUGCGGAGGGAUCAUUCGUGAAGCAGGCGCCUCGUCGCCCUUCUCUACCCUUCAACCAUGUGGUCUUCUGCCAUUGCCUCGGGGGGGGGUUGAAGCGGCCUCGGCCGUCGGGGGCCCCCAUCUUCGGGGGGGCCCCGCCCCCCCCGCGUGCCCUUUGACGAGAAAGUCUUGGAGUGAUAUCUGCGUCUGAUCUGUCCGGUGGACAUAAUGAAAAUAAAACUUUCAACAACGGAUCUCUUGGCUCUCGCAUCGAUGAAGAACGCAGC